GUGAAUCAUCGAAUCUUUGAACGCAAAUUGCGCUUCCUAGCAUCCCGGGGAGUAUGUUUGUUUGAGGGUCAGUAUUAACAAAAAAUUUUUUUUUGUUUUUAAUUGUGAAGUAUCCGGAGGUUGGGCUUAUCUUAACUUUUUUGGUUAAGGGGCUUAAAAUGGACCUUUUUUGCGCAUUUUUAGACGUACAUAAAUUUUUUUUUAUUCGUCUAUUCUUAAUGCCAAAAUCUUAUUAGAUGCUAUCAUAUCGUGUGGCUUCGUUUCCAUAAAUUUUUCAUGAUUUGACCUUAAAUUAGGG
rnacentral:misc_RNA from 1 species